rnacentral:tRNA from 1 species
CGAAGGGCUGACAGAGCUGGCCGAGGUGCGGCACUCCGACUACCGCGACGUGGGCGAGGCGCAGUUCGACGCCGUCUCCUCGA